UACGUAGGGUGCAAGCGUUAUCCGGAAUUAUUGGGCGUAAAGAGCUCGUAGGCGGUUCGUCGCGUCCGGUGUGAAAGUCCAUCGCUUAACGGUGGAUCUGCGCCGGGUACGGGCGGGCUGGAGUGCGGUAGGGGAGACUGGAAUUCCCGGUGUAACGGUGGAAUGUGUAGAUAUCGGGAAGAACACCAAUGGCGAAGGCAGGUCUCUGGGCCGUUACUGACGCUGAGGAGCGAAAGCGUGGGGAGCGAACAGG
rnacentral:rRNA from 1 species